GUUCGCGCCCCUCCAUGAACCCCACAUUCCAAGUUGGCGCCUUUUUCUCUUUCUUCUGCCCUCUGUUCAUCUCCCUCCAUCCCAAAUCCUCCUUUCUUCACCUGACAUGAGAACCGGACUCACCCUCCAUUUCUGUUCUGCACCCACUUGACUCCGAGCUGCAAUUUGAGCUCAGGAAACUGAAAGCAUGGCAUUAUCCAUGCGAUCUUUCUGUUUUUCCCCUGAUGAGAGUAUUGGCAUAUCGCCCAUCGGGGUGAGAGUUUCGAUACACAGAAUGCUUCAAAGGAAAAGCAGCACAUAUGUAGCAGAAAUGCAGUCUAGAUUUAUGAUCCCGAGACAAUCCCGACUGGUGAGAUUCCGUGACAGGAGUUCUGCUUCCCCAUUAAGCUAUCCUCGUUCGCUGUCUGUGCGGAGGAAAAUGAAAAUAAUCUUUUCAAUGCAAAGAACAAGGUCAAGUAUACCAAAGGUACCUGCACUUUUUGGAGAAGUACAAAAUGUGCUGAAAGGAUGGAGCCAAUCUCACGCAAUUAAGUUAGCUACUUUAGUUGCAUGCUUGUUCUUGAUAAUUCCAUCCGCCGACGCUGUUGAUGCCCUCAAAACUUGUGCUUGCUUACUCAAGGAGUGCAGGGUGGAACUUGCCAAAUGCAUUGCAAACCCCGGAUGUGCUGCAAGCGUUGCUUGUCUUCAGACAUGCAAUAACCGUCCUGAUGAGACAGAGUGCCAGAUUAAAUGCGGAGAUCUCUUUGAGAACAGCACUGUGGAUGAGUUCAAUGAGUGCGCCGUUUCACGAAAGAAGUGCGUUCCUCGGAAAGCUGAUGUUGGAGAGUUUCCCGUACCUGAUCCUGCAAUUGUUGUUAAGAGCUUCAACAUCAAUGAUUUCAGCGGGAAGUGGUUCAUUUCUAGUGGGUUGAAUCCGACCUUCGACACAUUCGAUUGCCAAUUGCAUGAAUUUCAUGUGGAAUCGGGCAAGCUCAUUGGAAAUUUGUCCUGGAGGAUACGAACGCCUGAUGGUGGGUUUUUCACUCGAUCAGCUGUGCAAAGAUUUGUUCAAACUCCGCAACAACCUGGGUUAUUAGAAAAUCAUGAUAAUGAGUAUCUCCAUUAUCAAGAUGACUGGUAUAUCUUGUCAGCAAAGACAGAGAACAAGCCCGACGAUUACAUAUUUGUUUACUAUCGGGGAAGGAAUGAUGCAUGGGAUGGAUAUGGUGGUGCCGUUGUAUACACAAGAAGCAAGGUUUUGCCGGAGAGCAUAGUUCCUGAGCUUGAAAGGGCUGCAAAGAGUGUGGGGAGAGAUUUUGGAAAGUUCAUCAGAACAGACAACUCUUGUGGACCUGAGCCUCCUCUGGUGGAGAGGCUUGAGAGGACGGUGGAGGAAGGGGAGAGAACAAUCGUGAGGGAGGUGGAAGAGAUUGAGGAAGAGGUCGGGAAAACUGAGACGACCCUGCUACAGAGGCUGAUGGAAGGGUUUAAGGAGCUCCAACUGGACGAGGAGAACUUCUUGAAAGGGCUUAGUAAGGAAGAGAUGGAACUAUUGGACCAGUUGAAGAUGGAAGCGACCGAGGUCGAAAAGCUGUUUGGCCGAGCACUGCCAAUUAGGAAGCUCAGAUAGACUUGAGAAAAUAAUUUUGAGGGUUGAUCAUUAUCCGGGUUCUGAUUUGAUUCAUGAUGUAUAGCUGUUUCAAUCUCCCUCAGUCAAUUCAAUCAUAUUCUUUUACAGGUACAUAUAAUUGUGAUCUCUCUGAGUCUAAAGAUUGCAGCAGAGGAAAGGUUGAUUGCGUUAAGUAGCUGGAGAUGCAGAAGUCAAAGAGAGGUGCUAGAUGUUCUUCAAAACCAACAUUACCAGGUGCUCCAAGAUGUAACCAGAUAACAACACUGGAUGUGAAUUCUUAAACCAUGUUGUGGGUGUGGGGCGAAUGUGAAGCUACCGGUGUGUCUGGGACAUCAUAGACCUCUGCGUUGUCCCGUUCCUCCACCAGUGGGUGGAGGUUGGCAGCGGGGU